AUCGAACGCUGGCGGCAGGCCUAACACAUGCAAGUCGAACGAGUGGCGGACGGGUGAGUAAUGUCUGGGAAACUGCGCGAUGGAGGGGGAUAACUACUGGAAACGGUAGCUAAUACCGCAUACCAUCCGGUGUGCCCAGAUGGGAUUUGCGAGUGGUUGGGUUAACGGCUCACCGAGGCGACGAUCCCUAGCUGGUCUGAGAGGAUGACCAGCGACAUUGGAAUGGAGACACGGCCCAGACUCCUACGGGAGGCAGCAGUGGGGAAUAUUGCACAAGGGGCGCAAGCCUGAUGCAGCCAGGCCGCGUGUAUGAAGAAGGCCUUCGGGUUGUAAAGUACUUUCAGCGAGGAGGCGGUACUCGCCGAAGAAGCACCGGCUAACUCCGUGCCAGCAGCCGCGGUAAUAC
rnacentral:rRNA from 1 species